UAGGAUACAUCUAAGCAAAUACCUGCAUCUAAGCAAACCAUGGCGAAGUUGAAUUACAAUCAUAACCCCAGAUUUUAGUUUGUAGCCUUUGCUUAUUAAAAUGACAAGGCAAUCUCACAAAUGGUCAAUUUAUAACAGUUUGUCAUCUUAACAUCUGGCUUCAUACGAACAGCACAAUUGACAGAAAAUAGCCAAACAUUCAGGUUUUUUUUUCCAUCCAAGUGUUUCUCGCUCAGAUUUGUAGAUCCUCCGUCCCUGAACAUUGUCCAACUUUCAUCACUCAAACUAUGUGUAUUGAUCUAUAGUUAUGCACAAAAGUGAUUUAUUUACAAUUAUAACCCGAGUUCGAGCCCUGAAUGCUGAUUGGCUGAACGCUGUGGUAUAUUAGACCAUAUACCAUAUGGGUAUGACAACUUUUACAUUGGUAACCAGUUUAUAAUAGCAAUAAGGCACCCCGGAGGUUUGUAGUAUAUGUCCAAUAAGGUUUUAUCCAGGCACUCUGCGUUGCUUCACGCAUAACACAUUUAGCAUGUAGUUACGUCUAUGUUCCUUGUUAAUAGGCUAAUAACGUUAUGGGAAAAUGCUUUAUUACAACUCAUCUCUUGAUGUGAAAAAAAAAAUUGUCCUCGUUUCAGGUCUUUUGCCCAGGUUUUUCACAUGACCUGGCAACCCUGUGUAUGGAUAACAGUGUUUAUUACAAACAGGGAUCGUAAUUAUUUCUCAGAGAUAAAUGUACUAGCUUGUCGGACCAACUCGGAUCACUCAUACCCGCUGAAGAUUGCUGCCUCCGUCUCUGCAGAUGAUGACCAGCUCUGUCUUAUAAGGAGAAGACAAGCCAUCACAAUCACCCACAUGGCACCAGCCUAGAGCUGUCUUAUAAGGAGAAGACAAGCCAUCACAAUCACCCACAUGGCACCAGCCUAGAGCUGUCUUAUAAGGAGAAGACAAGCCAUCACAGUUACCCACAUGGCACCAGCCUAGAGCUGUCUUAUAAGGAGAAGACAAGCCAUCACAGUUACCCACAUGGCACCAGCCUAGAGCGGUCUUAUAAGGAGAAGACAAGCCAUCACAGUUACCCACAUGGCACCAGCCUAGAGCGGUCUUAUAAGGAGAAGACAAGCCAUCACAGUUACCCACAUGGCACCAGCCUAGAGCUGUCUUAUAAGGAGAAGACAAGCCAUCACAGUUACCCACAUGGCACCAGCCUAGAGCUGUCUUAUAAGGAGAAGACAAGCCAUCACAGUUACCCACAUGGCACCAGCCUAGAGCUGUAAGACCCUGGAAGUUUGAAACAUUUACUGAUAUGAAGGCCGUUAGUUUAACAGAACAAGUUUCUCUGCCCAGGUUAACUACAUCAACUUCAAAUGGAGGAAGGAGAUUCUCUGCAUAGUGUUAACCUGAAUCAACUCAAGAUGGAGGAAGGAGAUUCUCCCCAUAGUGUUCAUCUGAAUCAACUCAAAAUGGAGGAAGGAGAUUCUCCCCAUAGUGUUAAUCUGAAUCAACUCAAAAUGGAGAAAGGAGAUUCUCUGCAUAGCGUUAACCUGAAUCAACUCAAAAUGGAGGAAGGAGAUUCUCUGCAUAGCGUUAACCUGAAUCAACUCAAGAUGGAGGAAGGAGAUUCUCCCCAUAGUGUUAACCUGAAUCAACUCAAGAUGGAGGAAGGAGAUUCUCUGCAUAGCGUUAACCUGAAUCAACUCAAAAUGGAGGAAGGAGAUUCUCUGCAUAGCGUUAACCUGAAUCAACUCAAAAUGGAGGAAGGAGAUUCUCUGCAUAGCGUUAACCUGAAUCAACUCAAAAUUGAGGAAGGAGAUUCUCUGCACAGCGUUAACCUGAAUCAACUCAAAAUGGAGGAAGGAGAUUCUCUGCACAGCGUUAACCUGAAUCAACUCAAGAUGUCCGCUGCUGUUUCUUUACCCAUCUUGAGACUCCACAGACUGACAAAGGAUCAACUGUCUCUCUGUGCUCCCAGA